rnacentral:rRNA from 1 species
GGGACGAACGCUGGCGGCGUGCCUAACACAUGCAAGUGGAGCGACGAACCAGGCUUCGGCCUGGGGCAGAGCCGCGAACGGGUGAGUAACACGUGGGUAACCUGCCCUGAUGAUUGGGACAACCCGAGGAAACUCGGGCUAAUACCGAAUGUGCCCUCUGGCCUCAAGGCCUCUGGGGAAAGGAAGCUUCGGCCUCCGCAUCGGGAUGGGCCCGCGGCCCAUUAGCUUGUUGGUGAGGUAACGGCUCACCAAGGCAACGAUGGGUAGCUGGUCUGAGAGGACGAUCAGCCACACUGGGACUGAGACACGGCCCAGACUCCUACGGGAGGCAGCAGUAGGGAAUAUUGGACAAUGGGCGCAAGCCUGAUCCAGCCAUGCCGCGUGGAUGAUGAAGGCCUUAGGGUUGUAAAGUCCUUUUAACGGGGAAGAUAAUGACGGUACCCGUAGAAUAAGCCCGGCUAACUUCGUGCCAGCAGCCGC